rnacentral:sRNA from 13 species
GGAGCAGCAACGAUGUUACGCAGCAGGGCAGUCGCCCUAAAACAAAGUUAGGCAUCAUGGGUGAAUUUUUCCCUG